GCUGUAAAAGUCAUUUUAUUCUGGAGGAAAUGUAACACCAAAGUUUUAAGUCUUUCAACAAAGUCAAACAGAAUCAUCAAAAGGGCUCCUGGGACAAUCGAGGUUAGAAUGACGUUGGUCAGUCAGUCCUGCAGACUUGAGCGCAAUCUUCCCUCCCACUACCGGUUGGGGAGCCCCGAUGUUGCCUCCAGCAGGGCGCCAUUUGGCCUGGCCUGCGCUUUACCUUCAUUUCCGCCCGCGGAAUCCUCCAGGAUCUUCCCGCCAAGGCUCGGGUUUCCGCUCCGCGGCGUCUAAGCGCAAGCGGACUGCGCAUGUGCAGGACCCAGCAGGUCUAGAGCUUCUCUGUGUCUCUCCGGACUUGGAGCCAUGGCGGUGACGGAGGCGAGCCUGUUGCGCCAGUGCCCGCUGCUUCUGCCACAGAACCGGUCGAAAACCGUGUAUGAGGGAUUCAUCUCAGCUCAGGGAAGAGACUUCCACCUUAAAGUAGUGUUGCCUGAAGAUUUACAACUGAAGAAUGCAAGAUUGUUAUGUAGUUGGCAGCUGAGAACAAUACUUAAUGGAUACCAUCAAAUAGUACAGCAGAGGAUGCAGCACUCUCCUGAUCUGAUGAGCUUUAUGAUGGAGUUGAAGAUGCUUUUGGAAGUUGCCUUAAAGAAUAGACAAGAGCUAUAUGCACCACCUCCUCCUCCCCAGUUCUACUCAAGCCUUAUUGAAGAGAUAGGAACUCUUGGUUGGGAUAGACUUGUGUAUGUGGAUACCUGCUUCAGUACCAUCAAGUUAAAAGCAGAAGAUGCUUCUGGUAGAGAGCAUUUAAUAACUCUCAAGUUGAAGGCAAAGUAUCCUGCAGAAUCACCAGAUUGUUUUGUGGAUUUUCCUGUUCCAUUUUCUGCUUCCUGGACACCUCAGGUAAAUUCUCCUCAGAGCUCCUUAAUAAGCAUUUAUAGUCAGUUUUUGGCAGCAAUAGAGUCACUAAAGGCAUUCUGGGAUGUUAUGGAUGAAAUCGAUGAGAAGACCUGGGUACUUGAGCCAGAAAAACCUCCACGGAGUGCAACAGCACGUAGAAUUGCAUUAGGGAAUAAUGUUUCCAUAAAUAUAGAGGUAGACCCCAGGCAUCCUACUAUGCUUCCUGAGUGCUUCUUUCUUGGAGCUGACCAUGUGGUAAAACCCCUGGGAAUUAAGCUGAGCAGGAACAUACAUUUGUGGGAUCCAGAAAAUAGUGUGCUACAAAACUUGAAAGAUGUUUUAGAAAUUGAUUUUCCAGCUCGUGCUAUCCUGGAAAAAUCUGAUUUUACUAUGGAUUGUGGAAUUUGUUAUGCUUAUCAACUUGACGGUGCCAUUCCUGAUCAAGUGUGUGAUAAUUCCCAGUGUGGACAACCUUUCCAUCAAAUAUGCUUAUAUGAGUUACUAAUGAGUGGAGCAAUGUCCUGAAGUAUCCAAGAAGGGAGAAAAUCUAUCCAGAAUAUAUUCAUGGACUAGCUUAUUAACACACAACAAAUUAAAUUGAUGGUACAUUGGAAUCUUUCUAUAAAUACCUUGUUACCACAGUGUAAACUUCAUAGAUUUACCCAAGGUGGAGGUGGUUGAAAGUGGCAGCAAUAAAGUGAAAAUGAAAUUAGCACUAUGUAGUACCUAUUACGUUUCAGGCUACAUUUAAGAAUAGAAUAUAUCCAAUAAUACUACUUUUCAUGUUGAGAAGAAUGCCUUUUGUGAUCCGAAUAUCUCACAGCACUCAGGCAAUGCCACUUUAUUUUACUAUAUGUGAAGUCUACUUUCAUUCCUGUCUUUAGUCAUUUGCUUCACUUUAGGGCCUAGUUGAUAGAUGAUAAACUGUGUGCAGCUAUAUACAGAACACAGUGCAAUUGUAUGUUGCCUUCAGUUUCAGCCUUCCUUUAUAUCAUAUCUUUACUUUUGUGAUUAGAGGUAGCAGUUGGUGCCAUCUGUACUUUGCCAAUGGAGAACUUAGGCAGAGACAUCUAUUUACCUUAUAUAAAAUCAUAAAAUAUCAGGUCAAAUUACAGAAAUACUCUAAGGGAACACAUGCUUUCUUUUGUAAUUAUGAAUAUUCAUUUAAUUUUAAAAAAUUCACUGGCUCAUGCUUGUAAUCAAUGGGUUGAAAAUUAACCUACUGUUAGUGAUUAAGACCAGAACUAAGAAGGAAAUUUUCAAGAGCCUAUAGUAUCUUUUAACAGCAGGAGUUGUUAAUUUGUGAUUAAUGGGUUUAGGGAAGGUCUAUGAACACCAGGAAGUUGUAUGCAUUAUUUUUAUGUAUGUCUAUUCUGGGGAUAAAGAAAAUGCAUAAUUCUCAUCAAAUUCUUAAAGGAGCCCAUAAUCUGGUUAUAAACCAGUGGUUUAGACCUUCAAUUCCAUGUUGAUUUCCCUUGUUGUUCAACAUAUCAAUAGUCUGCCAUUGGCUCAGGAAAUAUACCCCUUACUCCUGCAAAACAAAAAAGCAAAGUCUUCUGGAAUAAAAAUAUAAUGCACUUUAAAACAAAGGGAAUGACAUUUGGAGUAUCUGUAAUUUGUAAUCAUGCUGACGCUUCUCCUUUAUCUUUUAAAAUUUGCAGUGGCUGAGAGGACUACUAACUAGUAGACAGAGUUUUAACAUCAUAUUUGGUGAAUGUCCAUAUUGUAGUAAGCCAAUUACCUUAAAAAUGUCUGGGAGGAAACACUGAAAUAAGAAUAUAACAUUUUGAUGAAGAGCUGGAAAGUUAAAAAAUUAUCAAAAGGAAUUUUGAUUAUCUUCAGAGAAAAUAUAAAGCAAGCAAUACUAACAUCAAAAGGACAGGUAUGAUGAUGCCAUAAUAAUAAAUAUCUGUGUUUGUCUCUUCACUAAGAGUAAACUGGGAAAUUGUAGGCCAAAGUCCAGUUGAACUUUCUGUGAUCCCCGUGCUGACUGUAGAAGUGUAUUUAUACCAAGAUGGAGAUCUUGACUUCUUGAAUAUAUCUGGACUGGUAAAAUCUUGAUGAGGUUCAUAAAAUGAGUUUGGGAAUUGUCUAUAGUUGAAUUUUUGUGGGAAACUGUUUGCUUCAUUCAAAAGUUCUUGAGACUCUUGAUAUUUCUCUCUUAUCCUUGUGCUUUCCUAUGGAAAAAAUACAUGUAUAGUUUGUUAGAUGUGAGUUAUCCAAGUAUUUAUUUUGUGUAAUGUAUAAGAAUGCUAAAUAAAAUGUUACACAAUAUCAAGUUUUUGCGUGUUAUUUUUACUGAGAAGUAAUUUUUAGGUAAAGAUCUUAGAUUUUAAGAUUUACACUUUUUGAGAGUUUAUAAACAUCCAGCAAGCAAAUCUGGAUAUAAUUUGAGUGGUUCUUUUAAACCACAUAAGUGAGACAUCUCUUAAAUAAUUUAUAAUCUAAAAAUAGGAUAGAAUAUGAAAAAUGAAUUUCCUUGGCAAAACCAAAAAAUUGGGCUUAAUCUUAAAGGUGUAAGAUAGCCAUAAUUAGAAAUAUUUUGGUCAUUAAUGUGAUUCUUAACCUUUUGAUUCCAUGGCAACUGAGAAGUGAUGUCUGCUGUACAGUGAGUAAAGGAUGAGGCUGUACAUAGCCAAAGAAAACUGCCUCGGGGUAGAUACAGUGUUAUGUCUCUUGGAAAGCUAUACAGACUAACCACUAUAGACUGAAUAGAUAAUAAUAUAAAACAAAUUAAGUGAUAUUAAUAUAAAACAAAUUAACUGGUUACUUAUGCAAGUUUCGGGAGCUACUUCUAUGUUUUCAUCAUUCCUGUUGGCCAAAGUUCCAGGAAUCGGUUUCCUGAUCACACUUAACUGGCUGAAAGUCGGGUUUUUCUGCUUCCCUUUGGUGACCUCUGGCAUGCCCUCUCAGCACCAUUUAUCAAGAGGAGAAAUUUAUAAAACAAAGCAAAAUACUUUAAGCUUGUUCACUGUCCAUCAUUCUAAUAGCUACUACCUUCUCAACCUUUAAACUGCCACCCUUCAAACAGCUCCCCUCUUUCUACAUACAGGGUUUUCGAAGUGUCAGGAGUCCUACAUAAAACAAAGGAUGUUUUAAAGAUUAGCUUUCCUAUGAAAAAGAAAUAAAUUGAGAGUUAAAUAACUCACUUUAAACUAUUCUUUCUGAGCUAACAAAGUCACAUUAAUGCAGUUUUUCAUAAGUUGGUCAGCUUUAUUAACUAAAGCAAAAGAAGUGAAUAAUUACUCCAGUGGGCCUAUUAAAGCAUAAUACAAAUAAAAAUAAUUAUGCUAUCAAAUAAUGUAUUUCUAAAGGGUAAGGUAAUAAGAGCAGCAUUUACAUAUAGCUCACAUGUGGAAGGUUGGAAGAUAUCUCCACUUAGGUAAGGAUAGAAGUCAAGCUACUGUAAUUUUCAGAAGCAUCUACUGUGUAACCUAUACACUUAAUCGCUCUUGAACAUCAGCAAAUGACAUCAUAUGGGAAGGCACUCAUCAAAGAAUUUAACCACCUGUUGUCUUCAGUACACUGAGAGGUCUGAUUGGGAGUCUAUAACAGGAGUCGACAAAAUUUGGCUUGGCUAGUUGCCUGUUUCUUGAAUAAAGUUUUAUUGGAACACAGGCACAUCAAUUUGUUUAUGUACUGUCUAUGUGGGCUUUUGCACUACAAUGGCAUUGUUGAAUAUUUCUGACAAAAACUGUAUGGAAAGUAAACUGAAAAUAUUUUCUUUCUGGCCUUUUAAAGAAAAGGUUUGCUGACCCCUGGUCUAUGACAUUUUGAGUAUUAGAAAGCAAACAGAUCAUCAUAACUUGUUAAAAUGCAGAUCUCAUUCAAAAGGUCUAGGAGUAUGACCUGAGAUUCUGUAUUUCUGAGAAGCUCCAGAUGAUGCUAAUACAGCUGGUUUGCACACCCCACUUUGAGUAGCAAGGGCUCAAGGCAAUGCAAUAUUCUCGAUAGAGCAUUGGUUCUCAGCCUGGGUUGAUUAUGCCCCACAGAGGAGACAUUUUGGGUUGUUACAACUAGGAGGAGGUACUAGUGACACCUAAUAAAUACUAAGAAUGAUGCAAAACAUCCUACAUCACAGGACAGCACUCCCACAACAAAUAACAGCCCAGCUCCCAAAUGUCAAUAGUGCUGCUGUCAAGAAACCCUGCAUUAGAAUAGUUAUUAACUUUGAAUGCACAUCAGAAUCAACUGGGAAGCUAUGAAAAAUACCAACACUACUUCCACUCUGGCCAUGAAAAAUUGAUACCCGAUUUCCCCUUCUGUUGUGACAACCCAUAAAUAAAUACAAAACAAAAUUAGUCAACAUAUAUGAAAUAACUUAGGAAUCUAAAACAAGGCCAUGGUAGUGGAGGAAAGGAAAAUAACACAGACCUAAGAAAGGCCACAAUUUAAGAUUUACUGCAGACUAGACCAAAAAGCCUGAACAGAAGUUAUGAAAUGAUCAAGUUAAAUCACCAGUAAGUUAACUGUCUGCCAGAACUAAACUCAAAACUCUUCAAAGGAAUGCAAUAAAAUCUGGAGUCUAAAGACCACAGCAUCCACAAUUCUUCAGGAUACAA